AAUCGUGAUUCUUUGAAAUCUGAACUAAAAUACAGACUACAGUCGUACACAGUUCUAUUCAUACGUUUUAGUACAAAAUCAUCAUGCGAAAGUGUAUUCAUUUUAGUAAAACAUCCAAAGUAUCGCCUCGUCACAUUGCGUUAAUUUUCAUUUAUUUCCAAAAAAUCAAUGAAAUAGAAGGAAACAAUGGCUAAAAAUCUUCGAAUUAAAUGAUUAUACCGAUGUCUACCUGGCAUAGAUUCCGCGGUAAUCAUUUCACAAUUAAUGAUUGUAAACAAUGCUCAGUAAACUAGUAAACAUGGUCAGAGAGGCUGUCUUAAAACAUAAUCCAAACCACUUGUCUGGAAUAGAGAAGUAAAUUACAUUUUAGUCAUUUACAGCAACAUUGGUACUACUUUGAGCACGGUGUUUGUAUAUUUUGAAAAUUAUAUUUCUCCAACGAUGGGUUUGAAGAAAAUGAACAGACAAAUAAAGGAUUUGGAGACGUUAAAGUUGAAGAAUUUAAUUCAUCCAGAAAAGCAUUAGAUACUUAAUAAUGUCUAAUUCACAUACACUUAUUUCAUACAGUGGAUUAUACUUAUUGUUUUCAAAAUUGAAAUAUAUGAUGUACCACAUACAAGAAACUAGGAAUUUGAGCCAAUGUAUUGACAAUUUUUCAAACGUUGACUUUCUUGAAGAUAAUUCUACCGACUAAGAUGAAGCCAUACAAUAUUGGAGCAAAUUAUGAAACUUAAAAGCAAUACAAUUUUGCUGAGCAAGAAUCUAAUUUCAAUAACACAGAGGGCCGCAACAUAUUUAAAUUGCCAAGAAACACAUAACUAGUUUGGACUUUAGUAGCUUUUCGGAAAGGAAAUUGAAUAUAGUUGGAUGACAGAGUUGAUACACAUAUUUUGUUUGUGUCUUGUUCUGAACAAUUGGAUCAAAAGCCACAUUCAGCUGUUAUCACACAUGUCAUUUGUGAUAUCUCGUAACUAUUGAACAAGAUUUUUGGACAAACCUGGCUUCACCUGUCAGAAUGUUGCCAAAGCUGUGUGGUGGUGAGCUCUGAAAAGAUAUAUUAUAUUGAAGAUGUUGCUGAUAGGCUGUUAAAAACUUUGAGGUGUCCUACAAAACGUACAGAUUUCUCAUAAUUCUAUUCAUACAUAUUAUUGCAUAACCACCAUGCAUAAGUAUAUUGUUUUUAGUAAAACAUCUGAAGUAUCGCCUAGCCACAUUAUGUUAGUUUUAAUUUAUUUCCAAAAAAUGAAAAUAGAAGGAAAGAAUGGCUUAACAUCUUCAAAUUAAAUUAUCCCAAUUUCAAUCUGACAUAGUAUCUGCGGAUUAUUUCAUAAUUAGUGAUUGUAAACAAUGCUCUCAAAACAUAAUCCAAACCAUUUGUCUGGGGUAGGGUCGUAAAAUAAAUUUUAGUAAUUUACAGCAUCAUUGGUACUAUUCUGAGCACGAUUAGUAAAUCGCAUCCAUGAGAAAAUUAUAUUUCUCCAGCGAUGAGUUUGAAGAAAAUGAACAGACAAAUAAAGGAUUUAGAGACGUUAAAGUUGAUGAAUUUAAUUGACCCAGAAAAUCAUUAAAAACUUAAUAAUGUCUAAUUCUUAUACACUUAUGUAAGUAUAUUACUUGAGUAUCAGAUUUUAAAUGGUUUUUUUUUUUAGUUCAUAUAGUGGAUUAUACUUAUAUUUUCAAAACUGAAAUAUAUGAUGUACCACAUACAAGAAGCUAGGAAGUCGAUCAAAUAUGCUGACAAUUUUUCAGACAUUGGCUUUCACGAAGAUAAUUCUACCGACUUAGAUGAAGCCAUACAAUAUUGGAGCAAAUUAUGAAACUUAAGGAAUUCCUCACUGUUGAUCUAAUUUUUGUGCAUGGGCGGUCCCCAGAUUUUACUUCAGGUGCAGCGUAGAUGGCUCAUUUCUAGAGAAGAAAAAUAAAUUUUGCUAAUUCACAGCAAUAUUGGUACUACACUGACCACGACUAAUAAAUUACAUCUAAGAAAAAAUUGUGUUUCUCCAACGAUGAGUUAGAAGAAAAUGAACGAACAAAUAAAGAAUUUGCUAUCGCCAACCGCAGGAAGGGGACCGUAGAUAUAUACUCCCUGUAUUGUGAUGAUUACCUAACUUAACCACAAUAACAUAAUAUUAUAUUAUCGUUCACCGACUUUUAAAAUCAUUCAAUUAGAUUUCCAAAAACCGAUUAUAGAAGGAAAUAAUGGCGGUAAUCAUUUUACAAUCAGUGAUUAUAAACAAGGUUCAGUAAUUAGUAGAUAUUAUGGUUAGAGGCUGUCACAAAAUAUAAUCCAAACCACUUGUCUGGGAUAUAGAAGUAAAAUCAAAAAUAUAAAAUAAAUUUUAAUAAUUUACAGCAACCCUGGUAGUACUGCUCUGGGCACGACUAGUAAAUCUUAUCUAAGAAAAUAUUGUGUUUUUCCAACGAUGAAUGAGAAGAAAAUGAACAGACGAAUAAAGGAGGAUAUGGAGACCUUACAAUUGAUGAUUUUAAUUCACCCAGAAAAGCCUUAGAUACUUAAUAAUGUCUAAUUCACACACACUUAUGUUUACUGGUCGUCAAACCCGUUCCUAUUCAUGGAAUUUACUUCUCAACAAGAAAAGACAAACUUCUAUGAAAGAAGGCUAAGCGAAUACCAAUUACAUUCAAUUGCACUCUGAAUCAUCUUUUUGAAUAAAACUAUUUGUCUAAGACAUAUUUAUAAUUAUAAGAAAACUUUAUUUUUAAAUUUUAUAGUUGGAGAAAAAGUAUUUAAAAUCUUUAUUAGUUAUACUACCAUAGUUUUCAUACUUGUCGUAUUUAUAGUUUAAUUGUAAUUUAAAAUUUAGAACUAUAUGACUAAUGUGUUGUAAUUUAUUGUUAUACUUGUAGUAGUUUUUUUGUACAUACUAAAUAAGAAAUUUUUAGUGAGUAAGAAGAAAUAAAUUUGA